CCCUUGGUGACUGCGGAGGAUCAUUAAUGAACUUGUGAUCGAGGUUGUAGCUGGCCCUCUCACGGGGGCAUGUGCACGCCUCUUUCACCAAUCCACACACACCUGUGCACCUUUGCGUGGGUCGGGAGGUUCCGCUUGCGGGACAGUACCGGCUCGCGUCCUUUUCACAAACCCUCGUAUGUCUUUAGGAAUGUAUCUUUGAUGUAAUAAAAACGCAUCUACAACAACUUUCAACAACGGAUCUCUUGGCUCUCGCAUCGAUGAAGAACGCAGCGAAAUGCGAUAAGUAAUGUGAAUUGCAGAAUUCAGUGAAUCAUCGAAUCUUUGAACGCACCUUGCGCCCUUUGGUAUUCCGAAGGGCACACCUGUUUGAGUGUCGUGAAAUUCUCAACCCUCUUCACUUUGUUGUGAGAAGGGCUUGGACUUGGAGGAUUUGCCGGACGUCGAGUUCGGCUCCUCUCAAAUGCAUUAGUGCGUCUUUGUUGCGAUGUACGCUUCGGUGUGAUAAUUAUCUACGUCGCUGCUGUACUUGCUUCUUGUGGGGACGCGCUUCCAACCGUCCGAAAGGACAAUUCAUCGAACCUUGACCUCAAAUCAGGUGGGACUACCCGCUGAACUUAAGCAUAUCAUAAGGGGGGAGAAAAAA
rnacentral:rRNA from 1 species